AGCAGCAGAAUCAGUACCAGGUGUUUGUCUCUGUGUGUGUAGGACCUGAAGCAGCAGAAUCAGUACCAGGUGUUUGUCUCUGUGUGUUUAGGACCUGAAGCAGCAGAAUCAGUACCAGGUGUUUGUCUCUGUGUGUGUAGGACCUGAAGCAGCAGAAUCAGUACCAGGUGUUUGUCUCUGUGUGUGUAGGACCUGAAGCAGCAGAAUCAGUACCAGGUGUUUGUCUCUGUGUGUGUAGGACCUGAAGCAGCAGAAUCAGUACCAGGUGUUUGUCUCUGUGUGUGUAGGACCUGAAGCAGCAGAAUCAGUACCAGGUGUUUGUCUCUGUGUGUGUAGGACCUGAAGCAGCAGAAUCAGUACCAGGUGUUUGUCUCUGUGUGUGUAGGACCUGAAGCAGCAGAAUCAGUACCAGGUGUUUGUCUCUGUGUGUGUAGGACCUGAAGCAGCAGAAUCAGUACCAGGUGUUUGUCUCUGUGUGUGUAGGACCUGAAGCAGCAGAAUCAGUACCAGGUGUUUGUCUCUGUGUGUGUAGGACCUGAAGCAGCAGAAUCAGUACCAGGUGUUUGUCUCUGUGUGUUUAGGACCUGAAGCAGCAGAAUCAGUACCAGGUGUUUGUCUCUGUGUGUGUAGGACCUGAAGCAGCAGAAUCAGUACCAGGUGUUUGUCUCUGUGUGUGUAGGACCUGAAGCAGCAGAACCAGUACCAGGUGUUUGUCUCUGUGUGUUUAGGACCUGAAGCAGCAGAACCAGUACCAGGUGUUUGUCUCUGUGUGUGUAGGACCUGAAGCAGCAGAACCAGUACCAGGUGUUUGUCUCUGUGUGUUUAGGACCUGAAGCAGCAGAAUCAGUACCAGGUGUUUGUCUCUGUGUGUGUAGGACCUGAAGCAGCAGAAUCAGUACCAGGUGUUUGUCUCUGUGUGUGUAGGACCUGAAGCAGCAGAAUCAGUACCAGGUGUUUGUCUCUGUGUGUCUAGGACCUGAAGCAGCAGAAUCAGUACCAGGUGUUUGUCUCUGUGUGU